rfam:Sporosarcina sp. HYO08 scaffold_5, whole genome shotgun sequence.
GAUACCUUUAAAUUCAGUCCAGAGAGGCUGGGAAGGUUGCACGGAAAGUACAGUAGAACUGCUGCGCGCAAGUUUAGCUGUGCAUAUUUUUCUGCAAGUAUACCCUCCUGCCUAAAUUUGGCAGGAGGGUUUUUUAU